AAUCAACGCUGGCGGCGUGCCUCAGACAUGCAAGUCGAACGAUUAAAGCUCUCUUCGGAGAGUGUAUAGAGUGGCGCACGGGUGAGUAACACGUAAGUAAUCUACCUUCGAGUGGGAAUAACACCGAGAAAUCGGUGCUAAUACCGCAUAAUGCAGCGGCAUCGCAAGAUGACAGUUGUUAAAGAUUUAUCGCUUGAAGAGGAGCUUGCGGCAGAUUAGCUAGUUGGUAAGGUAAUGGCUUACCAAGGCUACGAUCUGUAACCGGUCUAAGAGGACGGUCGGUCACACUGACACUGAAUAACGGGUCAGACUCCUACGGGAGGCAGCAGUCGGGGAAUUUU
rnacentral:rRNA from 1 species